UCUUCAGGUUUUUCUCUACGCAAUUUAAAAGGGAUAAUCAACUUGUAGGCAAUGUUUUAGGUAGAUUGCGUGCAAUUUCCUUUUACACUUCAUACAGUUGUUGCAUAACGUUAGGCGUUUAAAACGUACGACCCGAUAGCACCACCCUGUCAGGAACGUUUGCUCAAUCGGGCCGAUUGCAAAACAGACAUGGCGGCACUCGAAUUCUAGCGGUUAGAAUUCGGUCAGUUUUCGGCUCGAUUUCCAUCCGCCUGCUCGAUUGCUCGAAAACAGACGAUAUUUUUCGCAGUGCUGCGAUGAACAAAACGAAACACGAGCAGUUUUCAAUCGCAGCAAUCCGGGUGCGUGAUUGUUGUGAAUUGUGUUGUGGAAUUUGGUCGCAGUUCUGUUUCUGCCUUUUCCGUUGCUGUUCAAAAAUGCUUUGAGCGCUAUUUGGAAGAAGCCAUGUCCGCCAAUCAUUUAAUCAUAAGCAAGAAAACAUCAAAAUGUCCCGGGUGUACAGGAUUUGGUGGAAUGUCAUCCCGGACAACGGAUCCGGAUCCCGGACCCACUCAGAGGUGGCAUCACUUGGAUUACUUUUAAUUAGUUUUUGGUGUGAAACUUCAAAGUGGAAAGCAAGAAAACAUCGACCCAUGCAAACAAAGCUUCCAAAGAAAUGUCCACACGGUACGGAUUCUGGUGGAAUGUCAUCCUGGACAUCGUAUCCGGUUCCAGAUCCCGGAUACGCUUCACUUACUUUUAAUCGGUUUUCGGUGUGAUAGUUCAAAGUGGAAAGCAAGGUGAGUACCGUUGUCACCAUUAUUUACUAUUUACUUAUUAAACUGACCUUUUCCAAGAUUUAAAUUUUAAUUCUUGUGGAUUUUUGGCUCAUUUUUGAGUUAAUGGGAUGAAUCAUCCAAUACGAUAAAAAUCUCAUCAAAAUUACAAAUAAACAAUCUCGACUUUUAGUUUCGUGACAUGGCUCGCACAAAGUAAGUUGUAACAAAACCUACCGGAGGAAAACGCAUCUUGCAAUUGGCUACCAAAGCCACCCGUUCGAAAAGUGGCCCGUUCGUUCAAAAUAUCAUUGAGGGUGUAUAUUUGCUGACACUGAUCCAACCAAAAACAAAACAAUCAUAAAAACAAAAAGAAAACAAAUUUGUGUCUUGGAAAAUUUUCCAGUUUUUAUUUAAUCGUUUAUUGAUCAAACUGUGUAAGAGAUUGUGCCGAGUUUUAUCCCGGUAGUGUCUUUUUGUCGGUGAUAGCUGGAAGUAAAUGAGGACUGCAAGCUUCCAAAAGUUUUACUACGUUAAAACUCAUCACAGAUUAUUCGAAAAAGUCUGUAUCGAUGGAUUGGACGCCGAGAAAACAACCGGAUGCGGGUUAUCGUAGUUCGGAUUCAAGAUUAUUUUUGAUUUAAAAGUAAAAUCAGAAAAACUCGCUUCCUGCUGUGCAAAAUUCUAGUUUAGCUUAUUGUAAGUCUUAGUUUUAUUCAUGCUUUGAUUAAUUGAAUUUCUACGAUCCGGUUACAAUUUACAGGUGGCCACGAAGAAAAACAAGUUCAACCAAUUAUUGCAUACUUUUUUCACUAAAUCGGUUGUUCUUGGAAAACAUGUAUCAAACUAUGGUUUAAAAGUACCAUCGGAAGGGGUCCCGCAAGUUUCUUUGCAGGUUUGUAUCCUUAUUUCUUUAUAACGAAAUAAUAAAUUAAACAUAAAUAAAAUAACAUUUCAUUUCAGGAAUCCAAGAAGUCGGCCCGAGACUUAAAAACUUGAAAUCGAAUUGACUGCUCCAUUCAAGCGUUCUUCGGUUGAAAAAACUCCUUGAGUUCAAUUUAUAACAGCUGCGAGAUUGCACUCGCUACAGUGUUUUAAUCACAAUUGUGAUCUUCGUCUGGGACAUCAUAUGAACGAACAGUUUUGAAGAUUGAAUCAAAUGGAAAUCCCGGAAUCUAGAAUCGCUACCUGUUGGUAAUGAAAUGGCAUUUUCAUGAGACAAGCAUGGCCCAGUGGCAUACAACAUAGAAUUUUCGUUCGAGGUGGCCGCCCUGGUCGUUGACUUUGGGCAUCAUCUGCACAUGCUGCUGUGGGCAAAUGUGUUCCUUUCGUUGGCCAGCCUGGUGAUCAUCGUGCAGUUCCGCUGUCUGAACAACGAGAUACAAAGGAAGUUCAAGAAGCACCGUAACUACCCGUGGGUGCUAGAUCUACGUAAAAUAGCUGUCCCCUAGCGACGGCCGAAGAUCUGAAUUCUGACAACGGUAUGAAUCAUAUGCUGGGAGAAGAUGGAAACCGCCCGGAAGCUGCCCUGUUCGCAUCUGUUUCAUAACUCAUGCCUUAAAUCUUGGUUGGAACGGGACACCAGUUGGCCGACGUGUCAGCUCGGGUUAAGCGUUAACAAUGCCAAUGUGGCCAAUAUUUUGCAGAAUGAAAUCCGCAUCGAUGACCCGGAACCGGUUGACGGGUUGGACCGGGACGAACGGUAAUCCGGUUUCUUGGAAAACGGCGGCUGAAAAUCAUACCUAGCAAGUCAGGAUCAUGGCCCGGCACGUCCAGGAGAUGUUCCCCCGAUUUCCAAUGUCUACGGUCAUUGCCGAUCUGAGCAUAUCGCGAUCGAUCGAAGUCACAAUUGAUUCUGGAAGGGCGCUUCCCAGCCAGCAUUCUCGUCAGCAGCAUUCACCAUCAUCAUCAUCAUCGGUGGCUUCUUCCACGCCCAGCUCCGACAGUUCCUCCGCGCCGCUGUCAAAAGCUUUUCUCAAUAAAAAAGAUAAUUAGAAACUUACAUAGGUAUUUAACUAUUAAAGUUCCUACAAAUAUGUUAGUUUAUUGUUUUGAUAUUCCAUAAUAUUAUGUUUUACAUUUCAGCCAAUCGAUUCCAAUAAUAACGCAUUUUGGGAACAGUUCUGGUGCGAGCAUAGCUCUCCAGUUCAAGAUGUGUUUGCGCUGAUUCCAUCGAAUGAGAUACGGAAAGUUCAGGAUGUUAUGCCAGCGAAUUUGGCAACUUAAUGCUACAAAGCAACAGAACGAUUGGUCCGAGCGGUGGACAACAGUUGCCGUACCCAGGGGAAACAGCAAACGGUGCUAAACUCUAUCCGUUUGCUUAAUCGAACAUUGCCAUGUAUUUUUGAGGAUGUGCAGUGGAAAGAUUUCUUCUGGUCUUCACUUCUGGCUAAUGAUAAAGAAAACGGAGACACUCCAUUGGCGUAUGUUGAAUGCCAUAGGCGACUUAUUGUUCUGUCCCGAAUUUACAUUUGUGGGAUUGUGAAAAUCGGGUCGGAAAAGGUCGAAGAACUCAACUUUAUCGAUAGUUGGGAAUACAUAUGGGAAGCAGGCGUAGGAUUUGCUCAGUCGCCUCCCAGGAAUGGAAACAUGGAUGCUCGUCGUACCGAACUUGAUUGAUGCUAACUUGUUUUAGCGAAACAAUGUAUCGAGCGCGAAUAUGCGUGACAAGCCCAACAAAUGGAUUGUACAUUUUACAAGUGCUGGCAACCGACAUGCAUUUCCUUUGUCCACUUCACUCCUCAACACGGUUUGCGCUUACGAUACAGUUGGCAUGGGAGUGCCCUACAAUCAUCUGCUGUUUACCGACACGUUGGAACCGCUGGUGGAAGUUUGCUUGCAGAACCUCAUUGUGACACUUGAUCAAGACAUCUCGAGCAACACGCCUACCCAAACCACGUUCUAUUCAGAUGACAAGCAAAAAGUAUCCGGGUGAUCCCAUCCGGAACUCACGAUUUCCACUUAAAGGUUUGGCAACCGUCUUCGGAAUGGGUUCAAUCCUGGCGCUCCAAGCUGCCACUGCAGACCAUAAUGCGGUUGCUUCAGGUUCUGGUGCCCCAGGUCGAGAAGAUCUGCAUCGAUAAAGGGCUUACUGAUGAGUCGGAGAUUUUCAAGUUCCUGCAGCAUGGAACAUUAGUUGGAUUGCUGCCGGUACCGCAUCCGAUUUUGAUAAUGAAGUACCAAGCCAACAGUGGCCCGACCCCGAUAGCAAAGUUUGGAACACAGCGGAAGAUUUAAUCCAUCAGGUCCGUAAAUUUUGCUCCGACACAAAUUGGAAGAAACAAAAAGAUCGAGCUCUGUACAGCAACAGCGGAGAUUAGCUGUCGAAAAUGUCUACUGCGUAUUUCAGAUAUCAGUAUUUCAUCUGUUUGUGAAUCGUAUGCGUUUUCGUGUUUUCUGAGUAGCCGUUAUAGAGCAAUCUGAUUUCAACUGACCAGCAGUAUUUUAAACAGCUUUUCGUUAUUCUGAGAUGACCCCACAAGCUGCCCUCCGACUUUGUUUAAAUCGCAACUUGUCCGUGUUCAUUUAGUAUAAUGAAGUUUUGUUUAGUUUUCAAUAUUGGUAAAAAAUAAUUUUGAAUGCUGGGGCUGGAGAAGGUCUAUUUUUUCAUGAUCCAUGUUGAUAAGAUGAAUGGGAGUUGAAACACUUGCCCUCUCUUCUGCAGAACAAUCGCAACAUCCGAUUGACAGGGAAAGUAUCACAAUUUGCCAUUAUAAUAGCUGAUACUUUCAAUAGGGCAUAAUUCUUGUGGCUGGGUAGUUAGUUAGUUGGUUUAGUUUAAUAGAAUUAAAAAAGAGAAAAAGUGUAAAAAGUAUUGCGAUGUUAGGUAAAGGUUAUGGUAUUUGCCUCCCCAAUGCUCUAGUAAGUUUGUAUUUGCGGUUUAUGAAUUUCGUUGGCUUAUUCUUUGAUCAUGCAUUUUACAAGAACUAGAGGCUCAUUGGAUGGGAACGGUCUUAUUGAAGAAUAUGAUAUUUCUUUGGUAAGACGCUUUUUUGCUUUUUUUUUAAUUUAAUCAUUCACUUUUGACAGAUCUUCACAUUUUUCGGUUAGGGAUGGAAAUAGAUAGUAAAAUGUAUGAUAUUGAAGAACAAUAAUGAGUAGGUAGUCCAGCCAGAUAACUGAUUUCGGGCAUUUAAAAAUAGGCACACGGUAUAUUUUAAUAGAACCCCUAAGUAGACUUACUAUAGUUUGUCAGAGAGGCUGACCACAAUAAGUGAUGAGGUUUAAGAAGAACAGCAUUGUGCAUUUCCUGAUCUGUUCCUGUUCUGUAUACGGUAUUUAAGCUAGAUUUAUUAUUAGUUUGGGCUAGGCUUCUUAUAUUAUAUUGAUAGAUAAUAUGAACUUAUAUCCUAUUUUUCUAUUCCUUUUUUCUCUUUUUUCUUUUUUGUAUUCCUUUUAAUGUUACCUUCGGAGGAUGACGAAAGAGCUUCGAGUGGAAAACUCGAACAACCUUCAAGCCAUCUCCUCACAACAUCAGACCCCGAAGAUGGUUUCGCAUGGCGUGGAAGUCCCAAGGAUUUAAUCAACACCUGAAAUUAGACAAAUUGCUCAAAAAGAAGAAGCUUGCGCCAGACAUCGCAAUGUCUUAAGCAGGAGAGGCAGAAAAAGAAUCAAUUAGAAGAAAAAAAUAUGAAAAAUAAAACAA